CCCGCGGGGCAUGCUGGGGCUUGUAGUCCCGCCGCCGCCACCGCCGCGGGCUGCCCCGUGCGUGCAGGCGGGAGGGGCUCGGCCGCCGCCUUGCACAAGGGUUUGCGGGGAGCGGGCUCUCCGCAUCUGGGGCUCCCAGCCGGGGAGGGGAGGGUGCUGCCAUGCUGGACGGAGAAACAAAAAGAGAAAGGCCCAGUGUCGGGAAGCAAAAGGGAAGGCGGGGGGCUUGGACAGCGCGUAGGCCUGGAGGAAGUCUGUCAGGACUGUGCGGCAUCUGCUCCUACUUGGAUGCGAGUUAGUUUCGUUAAAAGAAAAAAAAAAAAAGGCAGGGUUUUGGGAGCACGUAGGCCUGGAGGAAGUCCGUCAGGGUUGUGCAGGCAAGAGUCAAUCCGAUCUCUUUUAUUAGACCAACUAAAACGGGUUGGUCUAAUAAAAGAGAUGGGAUUUAGCCAAAGGAUCUUGGCUGCCUGUGUCCUGAGAUCAACACGGCUACUCCCUGCAUCUCUGAUUCACGGGUGUGCACCGUUUGUUCCUUUUUGGAUGUGAUUUAGUUUAGUUUAAGAAGCAACAAAAAUAGGGUUUUGAGAAGUGCAUUGGCCUUCAGGAGUUCCUUCACGGUUUUGCGGGGCGUAGGUAGUAGCUGUGUUGGUCUAAGGAUGUAGGCACACAAGGUUCUUUGGAUAAAUCUGAUACUUUGUAUUAGACCAACUCAAACUGACACUUCCUUGCAUACAUACUGGCCUCUGGCUGCUUUACUAAGCUAUCCAGGAAGAGCGCAGACCAUCUGCAGAUGCUUCCUCUGACCGACUAAGGGUAUUUGAACCCAGCAGCUUGCAAAGAAGAAUUUUGCCAACUAUUUUGAGUUGGUCUAAUGAAAAAAAUCACAUUUACCCAAAGAACCUUUCUGCAGCAUUUGUUCCUUUAGAUGAUAAUUAGUUAAGUUAAAAACAAACAAAAAAAAAAACAGUGAAAUCUUUGUGGUGAAGUCCCCUCCUCUGCAAAUCCCAAGAGUGGGCUCCAUCUCCCCUCCACAAAAAAUGAGGAUGUGUUGCACGCGCCGAGAAAAGAAAAGCAAGACAAACAAGAGAAUGGGAAGUCAGCAAGACUGAAAGAUAAUGUGAUGCCUGUUACCAAAAUAAUCAGAUAAUAAGGCAAGACGAAUUAGCUGGAAAAAAAGACACAUGAUCUAACAUGAAAGAGGAAACUGAAGAGAUGUGGGCUUUACGAGUCAUUGAACAAAGGCUGAGUAAUGAUCUCAAAAUUUCCUGCAUUUCUCGUUGCCCAAAGCCUGCAGGCUGCGGCCCACAAGAAUGAGAUAUUUGACUAAGCUUUUGAGGGGUGGGGGGGGGGAAUCUACUGCAAUUAAGCAUGUUUAAAAGUGAUCCUCCUCCUACCUAAACACAAUAACCCUUUGAAAAUGGAGGUGACCUAAAAAGGGCUUCCUCUCCUCCCCUCCUGUAAGUUCUGCAGCCCUUGGCGAGGAUGUUGAUACUCUGAUAUCAAUAUCAUAUAUUGAUAUAUCACUAGAUAGACAGAUAGAUGCAUAAAGUGGUGUGUGUAGGGAUAGCUAUACUGCAAAUAUUGAUGGUUUCACAGCUGAGUCAAAAGAGGAUAAUUCAUUCUCUCUCUUUGGGGGCAUUAAGCAUCCUGCUCACAGGAUUUCUUGUUUUCCUCCACUUAUCUCCUGUAGUGUUUCCUGCCUCACUUCUUUUUUUUGACUGCUGUUUGUGUGUUCACUAAUCUAGUGUAGGCCUCUAAAUCAGUUGGUUAGGAACAUGGAUACAUGAGCAAGAGACCAUAGGCACUGAGGCCAAACCAGGGAAAUGCAACAGGAAAUGACCAGAUCCUGUUCCUGGGCAAGGUGAUCUGAAAAAUGUUUUGUGUGACUAGCAGAGGAGAAGGAAUAGGAGUGAAAUGAAACACAGCUUCUCCUACUCCCCGAACUGGAGACAAAUCGUUCCUCUAGUGAAAAUGGCACUCAGAUUUAACCAAAUAUGGUGCUUCCCAAAUGACUGGAACUGAGCACUGGAAUAAGCUGUUUAGCCUUCAACAUCUGGCAAAGAGGAGAAUCUAAGAUGGUAAAGGUGUAUUUGCUGCUCCCCGGUGUAAGGAGCUCCUCAAAAGAGUCCAAAUACCAAACCGUUUCUCACGCAGUCAAAAGUCACUACCGCCAGAGCAUUUUCAGAGACUCUGUAUGUAAGGCUGUGUAGCUGCAGGCUCUGCUGCAUUGAAUCGGAGUUGCUCAACCUGGUCCUAGUAGUGCCCACCCAAAAACCUGCCUCAGCUUGGUUGAGAGAGGCACGGGCUUUUCAAGCAGGAGGCUUUGAGUUCUACCCAGGUGUUGAUAGGCAGUGCCAGAUGAGCAGGGUGUAAAACAGGUUUGUUAUAGUACCUGGCAGAAGUUGCACAGGGUCAGCUGUGCAUUUAAUUAAGGAAUGGUCCCCUCUGUUCAGAAGAUAAUAUUACGUCCUUUAAUGGAAGAUGACUGCUUCCACACUCUGUGGGGCUCUUUCUGCUACGAUUCUAGGUCCUGCGUGUUUUAGGCAUGCACGUAAGCACUCUACUGAACUAAAGCAGGAUGCAGGGAAGCACAUAGGCCUUCAGGAAUUCCUUCAAGCUUGUGCAGCAUUUGGAUGUGAUCUAGUUCAGUAAGAUGUCAGCUUCUCCUUUCUGGAGGAGUACUAACUAGUGGUUCUAAUGGGCCCAGCAGGUAGGAUUCCUGGUUUCUAUAACUGUCUCUGCCAGUGGCUUCCUCUUGGUCUUUGGGCAAGACAGUGCCUUGCUGUAAAAUGCAGACAGGCUUGGUCCAACUCAUAGGGAAACUGUUAGAUGUAACAUUUCAAACAAAUUCUAAUUCCAUUUGGAAAGGUGCCAUAGCCUUACGCUUCAACUAUCCGUCAAGUAUUUUAACGAUUGUGUCAUGAUUAUACGAUGACACCUGGAUGCUGCAAUGACAUUGGUGCUCCAUCACGAUAGACAUGGCACCAGCUGACGGCUUCCUUAGUCUAAGUCACUGGAGCUGGCCCCAAGCAAGACAAACCAAAGGAAGGUUUGGAGGUAUCUCAAAACAGACCUCAGUGUUCUGUGUGUUGCAUUUUUGCUGGGCUGAAAUAACCUAAGGGCAGUCAUAGGAGCAGGCCUUUUUCCUCAAGUAAUCAAAGAGCUGUUGUGCCCUCCCAGCUGGAUUUUUCCCUUUGAACAGAGUACAGCAAUUGCCGCCAGACUUUGUCCCAGACUAAGUUGCAUACAUUGUUUAAUAAAAGGGGUUUAGAACUGAAGUCUGUAUCACUGGAAGAACUAGUCUGUGGCUGGUACAAUUCCCACAAGGAGUGGCACUGCCUGAAGUGACGUGCUUCAGCCUAACUGAGGCUCUGAGCAACAGUUUAGAAACUUAAAAUAUUCUCAAGCCUUUAAAAUGCACACAAUCAUCCCCACUGCAAAAGUUUUACCAGCUCCUCCAAUAUCUGGCAUGUUUCUGAAUCAUGUUCCAGGAACCAUGUGAUUACAUGAGAAGUGCAUCUUCUAUUAGUUGUUGCCAGAUCAAAAAAAAAAAAAAGGAUUGGUAGGAGCGUUGCCAGCAGAUCGAGGGAAGUGAUUAUUUCCCUCUAUUCGGCACUGGUGAGGCCACAUCUGCAGUACCGUGUCCAAUUUUGGGCUCCCCACUACAAAAAGGAUGUGGACAAAUUGGAGAAAGUCCAGCAGAGGGUAAUGAAAAUGGUUCAGGGGCUGGGGGACAUGACUUAUGAGGAAAGACUAAGGGAACUGGUCUUAUUUAAUCUGGAGAAGAGAAGACUGAGGGGGUGAUUCAAUAGCAGCCUUCAACUGCCUGAAGGGUAGGUUUCAAAGAGGAUGCAGCUGGACUGUUCUCAGUGGUGGCAGAUGACAGAACAAGGUGCAAUGUAGGGAAGAUGAGGUUAGAUAUUAGGAAAAAACUCUCUCACUAGAAGGGUAAUAAAGCACUGGAACAGAUUACCCAGAGAGGUUGUGACAUCUCCAUCCUUGGAGGUUUUUGAGACCCAACUAGACAAAGCCUUAGGUGGAAUGAUGUGGCUGUGGGCUGGUCCUGCUUUGAGCAGGGAGUUGGACUAGAUGUGAGCUCCUGAGGUCCCUUCAACCCUCAUUGGCUAUGACUCUCUGAAUCUAUGAUUCUAAAAAACAAACCAAUGCAAAAAGAAGCAGCAUCUGAUUUUAUUCAUUUUCCAAAGGAAAGAUUGGAAACAUCAUCCAGCUGUACACUAAAAGGCUGAAAACAGAAAGCAAUUAAUCCAACAUGUUUUUUAAAUCUCAUGAUUAUCUGGAAACACUUAUGAUAUUGUUAAUUGUCUGAGGUUGACACUGCUGACCUAAUAUUUGACUCCUGUACUUCUUGCAGUGCUGCUGUUUACUGGACUGAGAAGGGCUUUCCAGUCAACCCCAUGGAAGGACCUGAAAAUUGUGGGUUUCCUUCACCAACCGCUGGGGUUAGGUUCCUGAAAGUUCUCAUGGUUGGCAAGACAAAAGGCUUAUGGGAAAAAUGGCAGGUGGCAGGCUGAUGCGUGGCCAUGGAAAACCGUGGUUACUCAAAACUGUAUACCGUGGUAUAUUGAAUAUUAAGUGUGGAUCCUCAAAACCAUGGCUGGCGAGCGAAACUUGUAAGUCAUCAAAAUUAAGCCCGAAUGACUCUCUUGCCCAGGGCCCCAACAACCGUAAGGCCACCACUGAUGGAUGAAAGCCACUUUGCAUUUUGGAUUGUGAUCGAAUAUUUACCCACAUCAUUCUCAGAAACGCAGAAACGAUUCAGAGCGAGCAGCAGCCUCCCUACUUCUGUCAUCUGCUAAAAUUUGUCGAAACAUUUCCAGGUGACGAGCAAGGCAGGGCUCUGCAAUUCCCUGUGAUUCCUGAUUCCAUACAAACCCACUCUGCAGAGGUAAACCCAGAAGAAAAGGAUGUAUUUUGAUACAGACUAUCUUCCCACAUCCUCCCACCAUAUUGUUUAGAUGUGCUACACAGAGAUACUCGGUGCACCUAUUUAAACAUAGACCUGACAAAUAAAUGCACCGCAGGUUUCCAUCGAACUGAAAGAAACCGCAGAGUGCUUGGGGUGCUUUGUUAAAUACUAACAAGUCCACUGCUGGACCACAGAUUACCAUUUCACAUCCAUCAGCAAACGAGGUCACGUUUCAUUUGACACAGAGCAGCAGUCCCACUUUGCUUCACACGGCUUCUCGCCCUAAAAGCAAGGAAGUUGGAAAUGCUGUGCCACGGCAAGCGCAGAAUGGAACAGUCACUUCCCACCAGGACCUCGCCUUCACCCGAGCCUGCAAGCGCCAAUUGGCAAAAUUACCGUUGCUAUUAUUGUGGUGAUUACCACUAAUCAUAGCAGUAAAGCAGAGAAGAAAAUGAAA